UGUUCCAUGAUAUCCAAACCAGAUAAGAUACUAUAAAUUGUGGUUGCUCGCCCGUCGCGCCCACUCUUGCUCUUCGCUGUCUAGUUAAUACGUCUUGGCGAACCUACUGUACAUACAGUUUAGGCACACAGUUCACGAAGAUGGCUAGUGGUAAACGCUUUCAGGUGCUGAUCUCGGUGGUGUUGAUGCUGGUCGUAGUAGCGGCGAUACCGGCAGUGGUGGAUGGAAGAGGACCUGCUCCUCCGGAAGAACUCCGGGAUUCGCACGUCCGGAUUUCGGUUAACCCGAAAUGUAUACCUCCUUGUCAUGUUUUUGACCAGUAUGGAGUGUGCAAACCAAAUAUAACCUGCCGGGCGGAAACAUCAUGAAAUCAUCUGGCUUGGCUGAUUAUAAAGUCAGACCACUUUCAUAAUGCCACUGAGGAGAGUUGUUUAAUUACUCUUGUUAUUGUCACUGCAAAAAUAUAUAUUUUUCGUUCUAGAUACAUGUAAAAUAUGAACAUGUUCAUUAUUUUCUUUUCAGUCACUAUUGAUAUAAUAAUAAAUUGGCAAAUAUUAGACUCUUGAAACAUCUUGCAUAUAAUGCCCUUUGCCUUCUAAAGGGCAUGAGAUUUUGUGGUAAUUAUUUUUGGGAAGCACAGAUGUAUAUUAUCAAAAAUAUAGUUGCAAAUUCCCU
rnacentral:lncRNA from 1 species